rnacentral:tRNA from 2 species
GCAUAUGUAGCUCAAUGGUAGAGCAAUUGUUUGAAGCACAAUCUGUCUGAGUUCAAGUCUCAGCAUAAGCA